rnacentral:rRNA from 1 species
UACGUAGGGGGCAAGCGUUGUCCGGAUUUAUUGGGCGUAAAGAGCGUGUAGGCGGCCAGGUAGGUCGGUUGUGAAAACUGGAGGCUCAACCUCCAGACGUCGACCGAAACCAUCUGGCUAGAGUCCGGAAGAGGAGAGUGGAAUUCCUGGUGUAGCGGUGAAAUGCGCAGAUAUCAGGAAGAACACCCGUGGCGAAGGCGGCUCACUGGCCCGUAACUGACGCUGAGGUGCGAAAGCGUGGGGAGCAAACAGG